rnacentral:tRNA from 1 species
GGGGCAUUAGCGCAGUUGGUAGCGUGCUUGAAUGGCAUUCAAGAGGCCAGGGGUUCGACUCCCCUAUGCUCCACCA